GUGCUAGCGUUGUUCGGAAUGACUGGGCGUAAAGGGCGCGUAGGCGGCUCGUGAAGUCGGGUGUGAAAGCCCGGGGCUCAACCCCGGAACGGCAUCCGAUACUGGCGGGCUUGAGACCGGGAGAGGAGGGUGGAAUACCCAGUGUAGAGGUGAAAUGCGCAGAUAUCAGGAAGAACACCCGUGGCUAAGGCGGUUCUCUAGUACGGUACUGACGCUGAGACGCGAAAGCGUGGGGAGCGAACAGG
rnacentral:rRNA from 1 species